GAUAUGGGACUUGCAUGCGAAAACUAGAAGUUUGAGAGCUUGUUGAAUGAGCUGAAAUUCUAUAAAUCAAAGACAUAUUUUUUGGCACACUAAACUUUUAUGUAAUUUUUAUCAUUGAUCUAAGUACCAUGCAUGGGAAAGCUCUUCAAAAGAUCGGCAUAUUACUCCUGGCUUCUAUAUUUCUGUACUGCUACAUUCUCGACAUAUUCUGUUGGGCA
rnacentral:lncRNA from 1 species